rnacentral:rRNA from 1 species
CCUACGGGAGGCAGCAGUGAGGAAUAUUGGUCAAUGGACGAGAGUCUGAACCAGCCAAGUAGCGUGAAGGAUGACUGCCCUAUGGGUUGUAAACUUCUUUUGUCGGGGAGCAAAAGCCGGACGUGUCCGUCUGUGAGAGUACCCGAAGAAAAAGCAUCGGCUAACUCCGUGCCAGCAGCCGCGGUAAUACGGAGGAUGCGAGCGUUAUCCGGAUUUAUUGGGUUUAAAGGGUGCGCAGGCGGAUUUUUAAGUAAGCGGUCAAAUCGUGGGGCUCAACCCCAUCCAGCCGUUGAAACUGGGGAUCUAGAGUGUGCGAGAGGUAUGCGGAAUGCGUGGUGUAGCGGUGAAAUGCAUAGAUAUCACGCAGAACCCCGAUUGCGAAGGCAGCAUACCGGUGAACAACUGACGCUCAGGCACGAAAGCGUGGGUAUCGAACAGGAUUAGAUACCCUAGUAGUC